AGGGUCAUAGCUCAGUGGUAGAACAUCUGCUUUGCAUGCAGAAGGUCUCAGGUUCAAUGGCCGGCAUCUCUA